CCUACGGGAGGCAGCAGUAAGGAAUAUUGGUCAAUGGACGCAAGUCUGAACCAGCCAUGCCGCGUGAAGGAUUAAGGCCCUCUGGGUUGUAAACUUCUUUUAUAGGGGACGAAAAAAGGGCAUUCUUGCUCACUUGACGGUACCCUAGGAAUAAGCACCGGCUAACUCCGUGCCAGCAGCCGCGGUAAUACGGAGGGUGCAAGCGUUAUCCGGAUUUACUGGGUUUAAAGGGUGCGUAGGUGGGUUGGUAAGUCAGUGGUGAAAUCUUCGAGCUUAACUCGGAAACUGCCAUUGAUACUAUCAAUCUUGAAUCAUCUAGAGGUAAGCGGAAUAUGUCAUGUAGCGGUGAAAUGCUUAGAUAUGACAUAGAACACCAAUUGCGAAGGCAGCUUACUAUGGAUGUAUUGACACUGAGGCACGAAAGCGUGGGGAUCAAACAGGAUUAGAUACCCUGGUAGUCCACGCCCUAAACGAUGGAUACUCGACAUUUGUGAUAUACUAUAAGUGUCUGAGCGAAAGCAUUAAAGAUCCACCUGGGAAGUAACGACCGCAAAGGUUGAAACUUCAAAGGAAUUGACGGCNGAGAGNGCGAGACGACACGAGGAGGAGG
rnacentral:rRNA from 1 species